rnacentral:lncRNA from 1 species
GAGCCUUGUGGAGAUUAUUUUUCCAUCUGAUCAUCUUCUUUAGAAAGUAUAAUUUUUAUCCUAUUAUAUGCUUGAAUGAUUUGAUUGGAGUCUACAAGGUGAUUUUAGAAUUUGAGUUUUGGUAUACUGGUUUUAAGUGUUAAAACUCUUUUUAUGCAUGUUGAAAAAUUUUGAAAUCUAUAUUUCACUGCAUGAUUGGAACCC